rnacentral:rRNA from 1 species
CGUGCAGGAAGACGGCCCUACGGGUUGUAAACUGCUUUUAUACCGGAAUAAACCCCCGUUCGUGAACGGGGCUGAAUGUACGGUUAAGAAUAAGGAUCGGACUUAACUCCGUGC